CCUGGAGCCUGCUUCGGAUUCUGUGUCUCCUUCCCUCUCUGUCCCUCCCCCACUUGUGCUCUGUCUCUGUCUCUCAAAAAUAAAUAAAUGUAAAAAAAAAGAAGAAGAAGAAAAGAGCAACCCAUUGCUCUUUGUCCUGGUGCUGAGAUCGCUGGGGAACAUACACCCUGAACUCACAGAUGGAGAGCGCUGACAGCCCUGAGCAGGUCUCCACCCACACCCAGAUCUUCCACAGAGGCUGGACGAUCGAGUGUCCUGCUGUAGAUGAAGCUUGUCUUGGCUUUAUGCUGGUUCACCCCACCAAGGAGAUGAGGCUCUUGACAUUCAACGCGUCUAAGAAGAUUUUCCAAAGCUCACCAAACCAAUGACAGAAUUGGAUUCAAAUUCCGGAUGGCGGGCCCCAAUACCCGUGCUUCGCAAGCUCUUCCGCACUUAUUGCGGCAGCACCGGCGACUUUGGUCCAACGCGUCCUUUCCGUUCUCGUCGCGUUCUGACUUCUGUUCGUGCCUGUGUAUCCAGGCCCAGGAUCUGGAGCUGCAGAGGCUCAAGAGGGCUGCCCAGUGGAGUUCAUACUUGUUUAUGGGAGGCGGUGAGGCAGCUGGGAAGGGGCGAGGAUGAGCCUGUUCGGUUAGUGGUCAAUUCUGGACCCCGAGCCCCUCUUCUGUGACCACAGCGGAGUCGCCCUGAGACACACAGCACACCAAAGAGCCUUCUGUCUGCAGGCUCUGUUCCAGUCACAGAAGAGACAGAAGGAGACAGACCUGUGUGCCCCCCACCAUGUGUUUGAAAAUAAAGCGUAUCGAUAGAAAAGUUGAGGUACAGUAAGGGGAACAAGACCAGGAGGUGACUGCCAUCGAAAAGAUUGUCGUUCAUCGUUUCCAAGAGAAAGGGGCACACAGGGAAGCCCCAGUGUUGGUCAGAGGGCAGAGGGAUUAAGGGGGAAAUGCGUGGGAGAGUCUUUAUUGUGAUUUCCCUGGGAAGGAACAGGCGAGGUGGGACUGACAGAUUUAACAUUGGCUAGUUUGAAUACUCUCGGGUGUAGAAACUGUCCCAAGUAGCCGGGUACCCGGUCCUGGGUAUUUAGGGCAGCGAGUAGUGGCCCAGAGUGUGAGAGCCUGUAGAGGAGGUGUCUGGGGGUGUGGGCUCCGGAUUGCUUGAUUUGGAAAGUGUGCCUGCAGGUGAAUCCUUUAUUAUCGCUAGGUAUCUGUUGACCCUGGGAGGGGCAAUCACUGCAAAGUCAACGAAGCUCCAGAUGUCACCAGAAUACAGAAAAUAAAAGCUAUGUUACUCAACGCGACCAGGAAUUGGGGCUGUGGAUGGGGGUUUGGCCAGCCAAUGAACAGCGUCCAUCCACUCUAGUAUAUGUGGUUUUGGUCCAACAAGUGUGUUUUUAUAAGGAAAUAAUUGGGCAGAUGAGCCGGGAUAGGUGUACGGGGUCCUUUAUCAGCAUGAUGUUUACAAGAAAAAAGGAAAAGAAACCCUAAAUGUAUCACGAUUGGCAUAUGGCUGAGUAGUUUAUCAUUCAUUCCACACAAUGAAUCACCUGUGUGGUCAUUGACAGUGUCAGUGUAGAGACGUAUUUAUGAUAUUAAGACACGAUCAGAAUACGUUUUUGGUUGCAAACAAGAGAUAUAAUCAACAAAUAUGUAUGAUCCUACUUUUGUUAAAAAUACAUAUCAUUCGGGGCGCCUGGUGGCUCAGUCGGUUAAGUGUCCGACUUCGGCUCAGGUCAUGAUCUCACAACUCAAGAGUUCGAGC